GACGAACGCUGGCGGCGUGCUUAACACAUGCAAGUCGAACGGAAAGGCCCUGCUUUUGUGGGGUGCUCGAGUGGCGAACGGGUGAGUAACACGUGAGUAACCUGCCCUUGACUUUGGGAUAACUUCAGGAAACUGGGGCUAAUACCGGAUAGGAGCUCCUGCUGCAUGUGGGGGGUUGGAAAGUUUCGGCGGUUGUGGAUGGACUCGCGGCUUAUCAGCUUGUUGGUGGGGUAGUGGCUUACCAAGGCUUUGACGGGUAGCCGGCCUGAGAGGGUGACCGGCCACAUGGGGACUGAGAUACGGACCAGAAUCCUACGGGAGGCAGCAGUGGGGAAUCUGGCACAAUGGGCGGAAGCCUGAUGCAGCAACGCCGCGUGCGGGAUGACGGCCUUUGGGUUGUAAACCGCUUUCGCCUGUGACGAAGCGUGAGUGACGGUAAUGGGUAAAGAAGCACCGGCUAACUACGUG
rnacentral:rRNA from 1 species